rnacentral:rRNA from 1 species
UUGGGUUAAGUCCCGCAACGAGCGCAACCCUCGUUUUUAGUUGCCAUCAUUCAGUUGGGCACUCUAGAGAGACUGCCGGUGACAAACCGGAGGAAGGUGGGGAUGACGUCAAGUCAGCAUGCCCCUUACGUCCUGGGCUACACACGUACUACAAUGCUGCGGACAAAGGGUUGCAAGCGCGCGAGUGCAAGCUAAUCCCAUAAACCGUGGCUCAGUUCAGAUUGCAGGCUGCAACUCGCCUGCAUGAAGGCGGAAUCGCUAGUAAUCGCAGGUCAGCAUACUGCGGUGAAUACGUUCCCGGGCCUUGUACACACCGCCCGUCACACCAUGGGAGUUGGCCACGCCCGAAGUCGUUACUCCAACCGUUCGCGGGGGAGGAUGCCGAAGGCAGGGCUGAUGACUGGGGUGAAGUCGUAACAAGGUACCA